CGCCCGGCGGGCUGACUCAGGGUGAGUGUGCAGUCCCGGCGCUGGGGAGGCGCGGUCGGCCCCGGGCGCGCUGGCGGGCGGUGGCCGGACCUGCCGAGCAGGCGUGAGUCGGCAGAAGCGGCGGCGCCCACGGCAGUCCUCCCGGAAGCCGGUGCUGGCUGCAAAGCGUGGAGAGCACGCUGCUUGUGUAGUAACUCCCGACCCCGCCAGGCAGAGAGAUACAGAAACAGACGGAGAGAUCUUCCACCUGCUGGGUCACUUCCCGAAAGCUGCAACAGCCAGGGCCGGGCCAGGCUGAAGCCAGGAGCGGGGACUCUGCUGGGUCUUGCACUUUGGCGGCAGGGAGCCUGGUACUGCAGCUGCUCCCCAGGGUGCCCUGGCGGGAAGCCGGGUCGGGAGUGGAGCUGGGGCUUGAACCCCGGCGCUGAGAGGUGAGCCACAGCACUCUCCUCGCAGGGCCACGUGCCCUCGGCCGUCACUGGCUUUCUGAGCCCCACGUGGACGGGGAGGUGACGCUGCCCAUCACCGCGGUGCCUGGGGCUCUGGCAUCCCGCUUUGCCGGAGAAAGUCACCGUUCCGGCUCCUCCCAGAACCGAGGAUGGCGAGGCCGUUGUGAGUGUCGCUGGAAACUUUCGGCUUCUGCACUUGGUCCCGGCUCAGGAAGUGGAGCUGCCACCCGCACUUCCGCCCAGGAAUUACUGAGAUUAGAGACUUCUGUUGAGAGGGAAGGGGUCUUCCUCCUUACAGGAGGUCAGGAGGGCAGGACAGUGGUUUUUGGAGUGGAAACAUGGAGAUUUGACCUCAGUCUCAUCAAGCUGUUACCCUACUCCUGGUAUCAAAUUCGGUGUCUUACCAUACACAUGUCCCAACUUAAAAGAGCUUAAACAUGAAGAUUGGCUUUCUCACUUCCAAGACUGGUGAAGAGCGGCUGAACAGUGUCACCCAAGACCAGGGUCACGCCAUCUUUAUGUGCCAUCAUCCUAGCAUCUGGCUUUGUCCUCAUCUUUGCUACUCAUGGUCCCAGUAUGGCUGCUGUAGCUCAGAACAUCACAUCACAUCACACUACCUCACAACGUUCACAGGUGGAAGUAAAGUCACCCCCUUGUGUCUCUUUCUAACAAAGAGCCGCCUCCCCCCACCACGCCAAGGGCAAGAAGAUUAUCCUAUGUCCGUGCCUACUCCAAUCCCUGGCAAGGGGAGUGAGACUGCCACAGAGGACUUGGCUUUGUUUGCUCUCACCUCUGAACCCCAGCAGGUUCACCCUGCCCUGAAGUGCGUGGCCCCUGAUUUCUGAACAGCACUGCAGGACCUGGCCUCGCUUUCUCCUGGAGAGCCGGGCUUCCCACCCUUGCAGGGCGGUGAGGGGUGGGGGUGGGACAGGCUCCACACCCUGGCCCAGGACCGUAGAAGAGCUGCACACACCCGUCCAGUCAGUAGUGCUGUUAUGUCGGCCACAGCAGCCUGUGGUUGGAUUCCAGGGCGGUGAGGACAGGAGCUGGCCCGUGGGUGCACGGCUUCCUUUUACCAAGUGUCUGAGACGGCCGGAGUGGCUUCGGGGCGGCGCAGUAGGCAGAAGGUGCGGGAAUUGUGAGAUGCGUGUAGCAAGAAGCCGCCGCGCGGUGUGGACCGUUUAGGUGAUUCCGGUGCGGAGAGCCGCGGAGAAAGCCUCGGUCAUCACGGAGAGGCCCAGGUAGCCCUGAUGCAGAGGGAAAAGGCAGCCGAGAGGAGUCUCCAUGCUCGCGAGGCCGGGGGGAGAGGGGAGGGGGGUGGCGGAGGGCAGGCAGAGCACGUGGCCGAGUGCCCGUGGAAUCCAGCGUUUGGGGAAGGCAGACCUUGUGCGUGAUGAAAGUGGACAUUGAGAGGCCUGCAUAGUGGUGUAGCUGGUAAAGCUGCUGCCUACAGUGCCGGCAUCCCAUGUGGGCACUGGUUCAAGUCCUGGCUGUUCCACGUCCGAUACAGCUCUCUGCUAUGGCCUGGGAGAGCAGUAGAAGAUGGCCCAAGUCCUUGGGCCCCUGCACCCUUGUGGGAGACCUGGAGGAAGCUCCUGGCUCCUGGCUUUGGAUUGGCGCAGCUCCAGCUGUUGCGGCCAGCUGGGAGUGAACCAGUGGAUGGAAGACCUCUUUAUCUCUCUGCCUCUCCUACUCUUUCUGUAUAACUCUGAGUUUCAAGUAAAUAAAUAAAUCUUUAAAAAGAAAUAAAAGAAAAAGGAAAGUGGACAUUGAGCCACAACCGUUGUAAGGCAGUGUUGGCUGUGUGGCUUGGCUCCUCCCGACUGCUCAGAGUAAAAUGCAAGCAGAAAGAAAUGGCUUGAAGAUGGAUUUCUUAAAAGAUUUAUUUGUUUAUUUGAAAGGCAGUUACCAGCCAGCGCGGUGGCAUAAGGGGUAAAACCAGCGCCGGCAUCCAAUAUGGACACAGGUUCGAGUCCCAGCUGCUCCACUUCCGAUCCAGCCUGGGAAAGCUGUGGAAGAUGGCCCGAGUGCUCAGGCCCCUACACCUACAUGGGAGACCCGGGAGAACCUCUGGGUCCUGGCUUCGGAUCAGCGCAGCUCUAGGCUGUUGCGGCCUUUUGGGGAGUCAUUUGGAAAGUGAACCAGCAGGUAAAGGAUCUCUCUCUGCCUCUCCCUCUCUCUGUAACUCUGCCUCUCAAGUAAACAAACAAAUGUUUACACAGAGGGAGAGACAGAGAUCCUUCAUCCGCUGGUUCACUUUGCAAAUGACUACAAUGGUCAGGACUGGGCCAGGCCGAAGCCAGGAGUUUCUUCUGGGUCUCCCACACGGGUUCAGGGGCCUAAGGUAUUGAGCCAUCCUCCGAUGCUUUCCCAGGUGCAUUAGCAGGGAGCUGGAUUGGAAAUGGAGCAGCCGGGACUCAAACCAGUGCUCAUUUCAUCACAAGUGGUGGCUUAGCCGGCUCUGCCACACCCCCAACUCCAGCAGAUGGAAUUUUUAAGCAAAAAGGAAACAGAAUGUAAAGACUUGGAAAGUUCUCAGCCUAUCCAGGUUUAAAAAAAAGAAAGAAAAAGGGCAUCUGACAGCUGACACUGAGCGUGGGCCAGGGCCCCUGGGUGAGG